rnacentral:tRNA from 1 species
GACUCUGUAGUGAAGUUCAUAGUGAGUUGCAAGCUCAUUGAUGUGCACUAAGGUGUACCGGGGUCU